UCCCUGGUAGCUCAGAGGUUAAAGUGUUUGCCUGCAAUGCAGGAGGCCUGGGUUCGAUCCCUGGGUUGGGAA
rfam:Ovis aries breed Texel chromosome 2, whole genome shotgun sequence.